AUUGAACGCUGGCGGCAUGCCUUACACAUGCAAGUCGAACGGUAACAGGUCUUCGGAUGCUGACGAGUGGCGAACGGGUGAGUAAUACAUCGGAACGUGCCUAGUAGUGGGGGAUAACUACUCGAAAGAGUGGGUAAUACCGCAUGGGAUCUACGGAUGAAAGCAAGGGAUCGCAAGACCUUGUGCUACUAGAGCGGCCGAUGGCAGAUUAGGUAGUUGGUGGGAUAAAAGCUUACCAAGCCGACGAUCUGUAGCUGGUCUGAGAGGACGAUCAGCCACACUGGGACGGAGACACGGCCCGGACUCUGACGGGAGGCGGCAGUGGGGAAUUUUGGACAAUGGGAGCAAGCCUGAUCCAGCAAUGCCGCGUGCAGGAUGAAGGCCUUGGGGUUGUAAACUGCUUUUGUACGGAACGAAAAGCCCCGGGUUAAUACCCUGGGGUCAUGACGGUACCGUAAGAAUAAGCACCGGCUAACUACGUGCCAGCCGCCGCCGUAA
rnacentral:rRNA from 1 species